GACGAACGCUGGCGGCGUGCUUAACACAUGCAAGUCGAACGGUAAGGCCCUUCGGGGUACACGAGUGGCGAACGGGUGAGUAACACGUGAGCAAUCUGCCCUUGACUCUGGGAUAACUGCGGGAAACUGGAGCUAAUACCGGAUACGACACCUUGGGGCAUCCCAGGGUGUGGAAAGAAUUUCGGUCAAGGAUGAGCUCGCGGCCUAUCAGCUAGUUGGUGAGGUAAUGCCUCACCAAGGCGACGACGGGUAGCCGGCCUGAGAGGGUGACCGGCCACACUGGAACUGAGACACGGUCCAGACUCCUACGGGAGGAAGCAGUGGGGAAUAUUGCAGAAUGGGCGAAAGCCUGAUGCGGCAACGCCGCGGGAGGGAUGAAGGCCUUCGGGUUGUAAACCUCUUUUAGCAGGGAAGAAGCGAAAGUGACGGUACCUGCAGAAAAAGCACCGGCCAACUACGUGCCAGCCGCCGCCGUAA
rnacentral:rRNA from 1 species